UUCUAAGUUGAUACCCAUAAGGGAGAUCUCAAAAAGAGGUAUUACAUCUUUAAAGGAUAAUAUAAGAAUCAGGGUGUGAAAAACUCCUUGUGUCAUAAAGGAAUAAUUCCAGGAUUUGGAAAAUGGAACCAUAACUGGACAAGCAUUCCCAGGAACCUCAAGGAUACCCUAGUUGAAUAUUAAAAAUGCCUACUCAAAAGAAACAUGGUUUCAGCUCAGAUUAUUGAUUUGUUUGUUGCUUCAUUUUAAAUUACUACAGUGGUCUAUCAAAUUACCUUAAACCUCUGUUUCUUCCUAUUGAUCAUCUUUUAAAUAUUUUAUUUAUAUGUUAAUUAUUACUAAUAUAUUUAAUUUACAUAAUUAAUCAUAUAUAUUUCUGAUUCUCCUUUAAUUGCA
rnacentral:lncRNA from 1 species